UCUUUAGUGACUGACAGAGUGGU
rnacentral:piRNA from 1 species